CACAGACUCUGACUCAUUAACAGACUUGACCAAGACAUCAGUGGAUGGCUAACAGUAAUGCUAAUAACAAUGAUAACUUAUUAAAUAAUAACGAUAACAACGAACCGUUCAUACAAGCCUACAGAGUCACCUGAGUCCUCGUCUCAGUCCAUCAGGCAGAACCUGCUCAUAUGGAACCUCGGGGCUGAAGUAUCCUGGAAAGGAAAGCAGGAGAGUGAAAGACUGAAAUGGAAGAAUGAUUUAAUGAACCUAACGAGUCCUGCAUCAUUCUUAACAAACCUGGCAAGUCCUCUGAUUUGACCCCCUGAGUGACCCUGACUGGGUUAUUCUGCACCAACCCAUCCAAGAUCUGGCAGGAUUUCCAUGAAGAAGAUUCAAACACCCUGUUUAACUGAGGCAGGCAUGCAACAUUUCACCAUCAGGUCCUGAACAUCUGAGCAUCUACAGAACGACUGAACUGGUCUCACUUUUCAAAUUAUUUAUGAAGAAAUCAGGUUUAACUCAGAGUUUAAAAUAACCACUGCUAAAAAUGCACUUUGUUGACCUGUUUGAUCUGCAUUUCUACUUCCUGAAAGAACAGUGAUGUCAUUAAUAUGUAGAGAUGCUGUAGUUUAGCUCAUGGAUUAUUUUUAGCGCAAGAUGUUUGACUUUCAAGCUAAGGAUAAAUAACAGGAAACUGGUGAAUAUUGUGAAGUUCUCAGGGGUCCUGCCACUAGAGGGCGCACUGGAGGCCGAGUGAUGUGUUCAGACAGAAAUUGAGAUGAUUCACUGCAGGUGUGCCUGAUAUUUAAAUUAGCAUGAUCUAAUUUGAUUGAUCAUCAUUUAAAUGCUGAAGUAAAUGAUCGGAAUGUUUGAUGGUUCAGUUUCAGUUUGGAAUGUGACUCAUUCUGAAACUGAUUACGGUCACAGUUUAUUUGGAUGGUUCCCUGUUGAUGCUCUACAGCUGCUUGAAUCAUUAACAACCUUUCUGGUGGUCCUCAGGUUAGGAUUAGGAGUAGAGGUAAGUUUAACCUUGAGGUUAGGGUUAGGAUUAAGGUUUAGGGUUCAGGGCUAGAUCUAAUAAACUCUUUCACGCUGAACUUCAAGUUGAGUUGAAUUUAAUGAGUAUUUAGUUGAAUGUUAUUGAAAGGCAGACUGAGCAUCUACAAAGCCUCUACAGCGGAGCGUCCGAAUAGUGUUGCCCCGAUUAUUGUUAAAUAUCUGUGAUUGGUCAUCAGAUCAGAAGAUGAAAGCUACCAGUGUCAGUGCUAAAGUAAGAGAUCUGAAUGUCUGAUUUGUGUAUAGAGGUAAACACACUGAAUGACCUGAAUGACCCUGUAAUUAUUUUUUUUGAAGGUUGAAAAAAGUUAAAAAGAAAAUAGUGUAUGUUUAC